rnacentral:rRNA from 1 species
UACGUAGGGUGCGAGCGUUGUCCGGAAUUAUUGGGCGUAAAGGGCUCGUAGGCGGUUUGUCGCGUCGGGAGUGAAAACUCAGGGCUUAACCCUGAGCCUGCUUCCGAUACGGGCAGACUAGAGGUAUGCAGGGGAGAACGGAAUUCCUGGUGUAGCGGUGAAAUGCGCAGAUAUCAGGAGGAACACCGAUGGCGAAGGCAGGUCUCUGGGCCAUAACUGACGCUGAGAAGCGAAAGCAUGGGGAGCGAACAGG